rnacentral:rRNA from 1 species
UACAGAGGCCACGAGCGUUAGGCGGAAUCACUGGGCUUAAAGCGUGUGUAGGUGGAUGACUAAGUACCUUGUGAAAUCCCACGGCUCAACCGUGGAACUGCUUGGUAUACUGGUUGUCUUGAGGCACUCAGGGGCGAGCGGAACAGAUGGUGGAGCGGUGAAAUGCGUAGAUAUCAUCUGGAACGCCAAUGGUGAAGACAGCUCGCUGGGGGGGUACUGACACUGAGACACGAAAGCCAGGGGAGCAAACGGG